rnacentral:ncRNA from 1 species
UGUUUUCAGGGCGUUGUGAAAUUCAACACCGGCGGUACAGCCCGCGAGCAGUUUAACUGCUGAUUCGGUGAAACUCCGAAGCCGACAGUAAAGUCUGGAUGAAAGAAAACA